rnacentral:rRNA from 1 species
UAGUCUGGGAAACUGCCUGAUGAGGGGGAGUAACUACUGGAAACGGUAGCUAAUACCGCAUAAUGUCGCAAGACCAAAUGGGGGACCUUCGGGCCUCAUGCCAUCAGAUGUGCCCAGAUGGGAUUAGCUAGUAGGUGGGGUAAUGGCUCACCUAGGCGACGAUCCCUAGCUGGUCUGAGAGGAUGACCAGCCACACUGGAACUGAGACACGGUCCAG